AGAGUUUGAUCCUGGCUCAGGAUGAACGCUAGCUACAGGCUUAACACAUGCAAGUCGAGGGGCAGCAUGAACUUAGCUUGCUAAGUUUGAUGGCGACCGGCGCACGGGUGAGUAACACGUAUCCAACCUGCCGAUGACUCGGGGAUAGCCUUUCGAAAGAAAGAUUAAUACCCGAUGGCAUAGUUCUUCCGCAUGGUAGAACUAUUAAAGAACUUCGGUCAUCGAUGGGGAUGCGUUCCAUUAGGUUGUUGGCGGGGUAACGGCCACCAAGCCUUCGAUGGAUAGGGGUUCUGAGAGGAAGGUCCCCCACGAUUGGAACUGAGACACGGUCCAAACUCCUACGGGAGGCA
rnacentral:rRNA from 1 species